AGAGUUUGAUCAUGGCUCAGAUUGAACGCUGGCGGCAGGCCUAACACAUGCAAGUCGAACGGUAACAGGAAGCAGCUUGCUGCUUUGCUGACGAGUGGCGGACGGGUGAGUAAUGUCUGGGAAACUGCCCGAUGGAGGGGGAUAACUACUGGAAACGGUAGCUAAUACCGCAUAACGUCGCAAGACCAAAGAGGGGGACCUUAGGGACACGCGGGCCUCUUGCCAUCGGAUGUGCCCAGAUGGGAUUAGCUAGUAGGUGGGGUAAAGGCUCACCUAGGCGACGAUCCCUAGCUGGUCUGAGAGGAUGACCAGCCACACUGGAACUGAGACACGGUCCAGACUCCUACGGGAGGCAGCAGUGGGGAAUAUUGCACAAUGGGCGCAAGCCUGAUGCAGCCAUGCCGCGUGUAUGAAGAAGGCCUUCGGGUUGUAAAGUACUUUCAGCGGGGAGGAAGGGAGUAAAGUUAAUACCUUUGCUCAUUGACGUUACCCGCAGAAGAAGCACCGGCUAACUCCGUGCCAGCAGCCGCGGUAAUACGGAGGGUGCAAGCGUUAAUCGGAAUUACUGGGCGUAAAGCGCACGCAGGCGGUUUGUUAAGUCAGAUGUGAAAUCCCCGGGCUCAACCUGGGAACUGCAUCUGAUACUGGCAAGCUUGAGUCUCGUAGAGGGGGGUAGAAUUCCAGGUGGGGUAGAAUUCCAGGUGUAGCGGUGAAAUGUCCAGGUGUAGCGGUGAAAUGCGUAGAGAUCUGGAGGAAUACCGGUGGCGAAGGCGGCCCCCUGGACGAAGACUGACGCUCAGGUGCGAAAGCGUGGGGAGCAAACAGGAUUAGAUACCCUGGUAGUCCACGCCGUAAACGAUGUCGACUUGGAGGUUGUGCCCUUGAGGCGUGGCUUCCGGAGCUAACGCGUUAAGUCGACCGCCUGGGGAGUACGGCCGCAAGGUUAAAACUCAAAUGAAUUGACGGGGGCCCGCACAAGCGGUGGAGCAUGUGGUUUAAUUCGAUGCAACGCUGUGGUUUAAUUCGAUGCAACGCGAAGAACCUUACGACGCGAAGAACCUUACCUGGUCUUGACAUCCACGGAAGUUUUCAGAGAUGAGAAUGUGCCUUCGGGAACCGUGAGACAGGUGCUGCAUGGCUGUCGUCAGCUCGUGUUGUGAAAUGUUGGGUUAAGUCCCGCAACGAGCGCAACCCUUAUCCUUUGUUGCCAGCGGUCCGGCCGGGAACUCAAAGGAGACUGCCAGUGAUAAACUGGAGGAAGGUGGGGAUGACGUCAAGUCAUCAUGGCCCUUACGACCAGGGCUACACACGUGCUACAAUGGCGCAUACAAAGAGAAGCGACCUCGCGAGAGCAAGCGGACCUCAUAAAGUGCGUCGUAGUCCGGAUUGGAGUCUGCAACUCGACUCCAUGAAGUCGGAAUCGCUAGUAAUCGUGGAUCAGAAUGCCACGGUGAAUACGUUCCCGGGCCUUGUACACACCGCCCGUCACACCAUGGGAGUGGGUUGCAAAAGAAGUAGGUAGCUUAACCUUCGGGAGGGCGCUUACCACUUUGUGAUUCAUGACUGGGGUGAAGUCGUAACAAGGUAACCGUAGGGGAACCUGCGGUUG
rnacentral:rRNA from 1 species